GGUGAUUCCUGAAACUGGGGGUAGUCAUUCCCUUCCUUUGUUGGGGCAGACUUGGGCUUGGGGGCUGGUGGGACACAAUGCAGAGAUUAAUCACAACAGGAGCCAAUACAACCCUAGGCUAGAGGGACAAAGCAGGAGUGGAGUUGGCAAAGCUGGGUCCACAGGGAAGGCUGCUUGGCAGGAGCUGAACCCAUGGGAAGUGCAGCCCCUCUGGAACCCCUGCCCAAAGCAGCCACCCACCUGAGCAUGCUUCCACUGG
rnacentral:lncRNA from 1 species